CAGCUACACAACGAGAUGAGGAUGGUCAUUGUCAUUUUCUAAGCUGCGAACGGGCAGAAAGCUACACAACGAGAUGAGGAUGGUCAUUGUCAUUUUCUAAGCUGCGAACGGGCAGAAAGCUACACAACGAGAUGAGGAUGGUCAUUGUCAUUUUCUAAGCUGCGAACGGGCAGAAAG